CCAGGCGCCACUUGGAGGAGAUCACUCUGGAAAGCUCCCUGAUGCCCAGCAAGCCCAUCACCAUGGCAACCUAUCCAUCCUGAGCUGCUCUUCCCUUGGGCCUCCAGAAAGGAGGCUGACUGAGGUGAUGCAAGUUUCUCUGAGCACAGCCACCUUGCACCUUAUAUGAACACAGACUCAGCCUACUCACCAGCUUUCUGAGACCACAAACAACAAAAGCUGGCUGCAUAGGAGGGAGAGAGGCCCCAAGGAGGGGCUCUGUCGUGCGACCCUGCUGGACUUCUCCAUCCCAGUUUCCUUGCUGGAGUCAACUUGCCUGUGCACAAAGAUUGCAUCUGGUAGUAUUUUUGGACUUAAGUUGCUCUAGGAGGGCAUAAAUAAAAGCAAUAGUAAAAAAGACUUAGCAGGCUGGCUCACAACGACUGCUUGAGCUCAGGAGUUGGAGACCAGCCUGAGCAACAUGGUGAAGCCCCGUCUCUACCAAAAAUAUAAAACUUAGCCAGGCGUGGUGGUGCAUGCCUGUAGUCCCAGCACUCAAGAGGCUGAGGUGGGGGGACUGCUUAAGCCCAGGGAGGCUGAGGCUGCAGUGAGCUGAGAUCACCCCACUGUAUUCCAGCCUGGGCGACAGAGCGAGACCCUGUCUCAAAAAAAGAAGAAGCAGAAGAGGCCAAGAUGGGAAUCUCCAGCCCAGAGAAGGCGGGGCAGGGGAGUGGCACUCAAUGUCCCUGAGUUGCUGAACCUCCCACACACCAAGUGGCUGCAGUCAUCUGGGCACCUCCUCCCUUCACUCCCUAACCCCAGGCAGUGUCUCAAAGAGGGCAACACCCUCCACUCAGAAAUGCUCAGCACAGAAACGUGACCAUGGAGCAGAGCUUAGACAUGGGUGACACCCG
rnacentral:lncRNA from 1 species